rnacentral:rRNA from 1 species
GUAGGUGGCAAGCGUUGUCCGGAAUUAUUGGGCGUAAAGCGCGCGCAGGCGGUUCUUUAAGUCUGAUGUGAAAGCCCACGGCUCAACCGUGGAGGGUCAUUGGAAACUGGAGAACUUGAGUACAGAAGAGGAAAGAGGAAUUCCACGUGUAGCGGUGAAAUGCGUAGAGAUGUGGAGGAACACCAGUGGCGAAGGCGGCUUUCUGGUCUGUAACUGACGCUGAGGCGCGAAAGCGUGGGGAGCAAACAGGGAUUAGAUACCCUGGUAGUCCACGCCGUAAACGAUGAGUGCUAAGUGUUAGGGGGGUUUCCGCCCCCUUAGUGCUGCAGCUAACGCAUUAAGCACUCCGCCUGGGGAGUACGGCCGCAAGGCUG